rnacentral:rRNA from 1 species
GAUGCACGCUAGCUACAGGCUUAACACAUGCAAGUCGAGGGAACGGCGCACGGGUGAGUAACACGUAUCCAACCUGCCCUUUACUCGGGGAUAGCCUUUCGAAAGAAAGAUUAAUACUCGAUGUCAAGGAUGGGGAUGCGUUCCCUUAGGUUGUUGGUGAGGUAACGGCUCGCCAAGCCUUCGAUGGAUAGGGGUUCUGAGAGGUAGGUCCCCCACAUUGGUACUGAGAGACGGUCCGAACUCCUACGGGAGGCAGCAGUGAGGAAUAUUGGUCAAUGGGCGUUAGCCUGAACCAGCCAAGUAGCGUGAAGGAUGAAGGCUUAUGGGUCGUAAACUUCUUUUAUAUAAGAAUAUGUAUUAUAUGAAUAAGGAUCGGCUAACUCCGUGCCAGCAGCCGCGGUAAUAC